rnacentral:lncRNA from 1 species
UUUCUGUUUCUCCUCUCUUAUAGUAUACAAAUUCUUUGAAAUUGCUGCAUAUUUUUCCUUUGUUGCUUCAGUCAAUUGAUGAGCAUCGAGGAGGAAAUGGAGGUUGCUAGACUGUAAUUUCUAUCCCAAAUGUUCCGGGCUGCAGAGUUCCUUGUCAGAUAUGGAAAUAGAUCCCAGAACAUUAUCUGUUCCCUCAGGACCCUAACCUCCAAAACUUCCCUCCAAAGUGCUUCUGUGUCGACAACUGCUGUUUCAAAAGAUGACUAUUUUGCAG